rnacentral:tRNA from 1 species
GAGGGUGUGGCCAAGUGGUUUAAGGCGGUGGAUUUCGCGGGUUCGAUUCCCGCCGCUCUCA